rnacentral:rRNA from 1 species
UGCCAGCAGCCGCGGUAAUACGGGGGGCGCAAGCGUUAUUCGGGAUUAUUGGGCGUAAAGGGCGCGCAGGCGGUCUUGUCCGUCAGGUGUGAAAGCUCGGGGCUCAACCCCGGAAGUGCACUUGAAACAGCAAGACUUGAAUACGGUAGAGGAGAGAGGAAUUCCUGGUGGAGAGUUCAAAUUCAAAGAUACUAGAAGGAAGACCAAUGGCCGAGGCAACUAUCUAGUUGGUUACUGACGCUCAAGUGCGAAAGCAUGGGGAGCAAACAGGAUUAGAUA